rnacentral:rRNA from 1 species
UACGUAGGGGGCAAGCGUUAUCCGGAUUUACUGGGUGUAAAGGGAGCGUAGACGGCAUUGCAAGCCAGAUGUGAAAGCCCGGGGCUCAACCCCGGGACUGCAUUUGGAACUGCAGGGCUGGAGUGUCGGAGAGGCAAGUGGAAUUCCUAGUGUAGCGGUGAAAUGCGUAGAUAUUAGGAGGAACACCAGUGGCGAAGGCGGCUUGCUGGACGAUGACUGACGUUGAGGCUCGAAAGCGUGGGGAGCAAACAGG